AAUGAACGCUGGCGGCAGGCCUAACACAUGCAAGUCGAACGGAUCCUUCGGGUUUAGUGGCGGACGGGUGAGUAACGCGUGGGAACAUACCCUUUGGUACGGAAUAGCCUCGGGAAACUGGGAGUAAUACCGUAUGUGGUCGAGAGACGAAAGAUUUAUCGCCAAAGGAUUGGCCCGCGUUGGAUUAGGUAGUUGGUGGGGUAAUGGCCUACCAAGCCGACGAUCCAUAGCUGGUUUGAGAGGAUGAUCAGCCACACUGGGACUGAGACACGGCCCAGACUCCUACGGGAGGCAGCAGUGGGGAAUCUUAGACAAUGGGGGAAACCCUGAUCUAGCCAUGCCGCGUGAUCGAUGAAGGCCUUAGGGUUGUAAAGAUCUUUCAGGUGGGAAGAUAAUGACUGUACCACCAGAAGAAGCCCCGGCUAACUCCGUGCCAGCCGCCGCCGCGG
rnacentral:rRNA from 1 species